rnacentral:misc_RNA from 1 species
GAUGAGGAACGCAGCGAAAUGCGAUAAGUAAUGUGAAUUGCAGAAUUCCGUGAAUCAUCGAAUCUUUGAACGCACAUUGCGCCCGCUGGUAUUCCGGCGGGCAUGCCUGUUCGAGCGUCAUUUCAACCCUCAAGCCCCCGGGUUUGGUGUUGGGGAUCGGCUCUGCCCUUCUGGGCGGUGCCGCCCCCGAAAUACAUUGGCGGUCUCGCUGCAGCCUCCAUUGCGUAGUAGCUAACACCUCGCAACUGGAACGCGGCGCGGCCAUGCCGUAAAACCCCAACUUCUGAAUGUUGACCUCGGAUCAGGUAGGAAUACCCGCUGAACUUAAGCAUAUCAAUAAGCGGAGGA